UUUCAGCCCAUUCACACCUUGGAAGUAAUUAAUUACUUUGAGAAAGCGGUUAACGUCAGCAAAAGUGGCGGCUUGUUAGCGUUUGACCAAUAUUUAAAACGUGCGCCAUCAGCCGCCAGGCAUCAUUUUCCAAGCGAGCAUCGGUCAAGCGCCAACGGCAGACGCACAAUUACCAACUAAGCGCGUCUACUGCUCCACUUACACUUCAAAGACAGAAGAAAGUACAAGCAAACGAAGAAAGAAUAACAAAGUGUGCGAAAUGUUGCGCUUUCUCGCUUAUCUGCUUGCCAUCGCCCUUAUCUUAUCCGCGUCGCGCAUGCCAAUUCUACGCGCUGCAGUUAUCGGUCACGGUGUAAGUACCAGUUUUAAGAAGUGUGCUAACGGGCCGUACCGCUGAGUAAUCAAGUGAAACUUGUUUGCUUUAAUUGAAUAAGAUUUAUUUUAAUUUAUUGAAAUCUUGUUUCUUUAUGCGGCUUAUUUAAAUGCGCUCACUUUUUGCUUGCACCGCAGCAGUCGCUUAUAAUUUUACACCGUCUGGCUAAGAAAUCUUUUCCGCGCACACAGAAUUGGGCCGCACCUCCACCGGAUCUGCGUUUACCUCCAAUUUACCUGCCCGAGUUCACGCCUAUAAGCGAAGAUGCGCAGGAAUGAGCAGUCA